UACGAAGGGGGCUAGCGUUGCUCGGAUUGACUGGGCGUAAAGGGCGCGUAGGCGGCCACCGCAAGUCAGUUGUGAAAGCUCUGGGCUUAACCCAGAAAGGUCAGCUGAUACUGCGGGGCUAGAGUGCAGAAGGGGCAACUGGAAUUCUCGGUGUAGCGGUGAAAUGCGUAGAUAUCGAGAGGAACACCUGCGGCGAAGGCGGGUUGCUGGGCUGACACUGACGCUGACAGCGCGAAAGCUAGGGGAGCGAACGGG
rnacentral:rRNA from 1 species